GGUCCAGAAGAAGAUCGUAAUCUUGAAGAUGGAGACGAACCAAUGUCAUGAUGAUCGGACGGCUCUGAUCUUUCUCGGAACAGGCUGCUCCGGUGCAGUUCCCGAUUUCAGAUGCUUACUCCAGCCGUCGGAUCCUCCUUGCCAUGUCUGUUCUCAGUCCAUCUCUUUACUUCCUCACCUUAACCCGAACUACAGAUGCAACACAUCGCUCUUGAUUGAUUAUUGCAACAAGGAAGAAGAUGGUAGACACUAUUACAUUAUUAUUGAUGUUGGGAAGAGUUUUAGAGAGCAAGUCCUUCGUUGGUUCACCUUCUAUAAGAUUCCCCGACUCGAUUCUAUCAUUCUAACUCAUGAGCACGCAGACGCGGUUCACGGCUUAGAUGAAAUUCGAUCUCUUCAACCUCGCGGGGGUUGUUCAACUGAUCCACUUCCUGUAUUCCUAUCUCAGUUUACAAUGGAAAGCAUUUCUUCCAAGUUCCCUUAUUUGGUUGAGAAGAAGGUUAAAGAAGUACAUAGACGGGUUUCGUUGCUUGACUGGACAAUAAUCGAAGAGAACUGCGACAAACCAUUCACCGUCUCAGGCUUAUCUUUCACGCCUCUACCGGUAAUGCAUGGAGAGGACUACAUUGCUCUAGGUUUCCUUUUCGGCAAUAAAAGUAAAGUGGCUUAUAUAUCAGAUGUUUCGCGCAUUCCACCGAGUACCGAGUAUGCUAUUUCAAAAACCGGGGCUGGACAGUUAGAUCUUCUUAUCCUGGAUACAAAUAUACCGCGGAAGAGAGGACCACAUCCCACACACAUCUGUUUUCCUGAGGCUCUUGAGAUUAUAAAGAAGCUCUCCCCCAAGAGAGCACUUUUAACGGGUAUGACACACGACUUUGAUCACCAUGAAUACAAUGAGAUACUUGCGGAAUGGUCUCUAAGGGAAGGAAUCCAUGUACAGCUUGCUCACGACGGAUUAAGGCUUCCGAUAGAGCUAUGAGGAAAUUGCUAAAUCCAGAUUUAAGAAAAGGAGAGACAAAUCUCAGAAUUCAAGCCUUGAAGCAAAUUCUCUAAAUCUGAAAUCUCAUUCUCAAGAUUCACUUCAUCUUCUCUUGUGAUCUUCUCAUGCAACUUGAGAUCGGUAUCCGUCAAUAGACUUGAGAAGCUGUUCAGACAACUCUUUGUUUCUUCCCUGAAGAGACGCAUCCUUGCAUCCUUGACCAUCA